UACGAAGGGGGCUAGCGUUGCUCGGAAUGACUGGGCGUAAAGGGCGCGUAGGCGGCUGUGACAGUCAGAUGUGAAAUUCCUGGGCUCAACCUGGGGGCUGCAUUUGAUACGUGAUGGCUGGAGUGGGGAAGAGGGUCGUGGAAUUCCCAGUGUAGAGGUGAAAUUCGUAGAUAUUGGGAAGAACACCGGUGGCGAAGGCGGUCUUCUGGAGCACUCUUGACGCUGAGGCGCGAAAGCUGGGGGAGCGAACGGG
rnacentral:rRNA from 1 species